rfam:Felis catus isolate Cinnamon breed Abyssinian chromosome D2, whole genome shotgun sequence.
GCCUGAGUGGCUCAGUGGGUUGAGCGGCUGACUUCGGCUCAGGUCAUGAUUUCACGGUUCGUGAGUUUGAGCCCCACAUCGGGCU